rnacentral:sRNA from 1 species
UUCAAUGCCCAACAAUGGCCAGGUAGAGGAACUUUAUUAAAUCAGUAGCCGUUUUGUGUGGAAAGGCCGAAUACAGCAAUAGACUCGGAAAUAUCUGGAGCUGCGACAAGGUAUGACUACUCCCGUUAUGUGAUUUCCGAAUCAAUGUCGAAUGCAUUUCAAAAUAAUCGAAUCCCGCUAGAGAAGAUAAAAACAUGCGAAACGCCAAAGUGAUGUAUCCCUGAUGUUGAUGGCGUUAUUGAUGUAAAGUUACUACGUCCACACGGAAGACCAAGGCUGUAUUAAAUACGUUCAAUUGCGAUUGAAUUUGAUUAGAUUUUGCUCGUUUUGUCGUAACGGAACAACGAAGCAAAGCAGCAGAGUAUCAUCCGAGUUUUAAUGUGCACACCGUGACGAGUUUCCAACAACUGUCAACUGGAUAAAUAAACAAACCCAUCUGAGCCGCGCCAACCAGCAGCCAUUCAGCCAGAUAUUAUACACCACCACCACCACCAUCAGUCAACAACAAGAACAACAUAAGGCAAUGUCCAACUGGAGCGCCAGUGGAGGAAGUAUGCACCAUCCACAAUACGGUAGUACGUAGUUGUUGCAAACGAAUAUAACAUUCGAUGGCGAAUUGCGGGCUUCUCUUUAUUACAGUUUGAAACUGGCUCUUUUGUAUCCGUUUCUCUCGGUGUUUACCAUUUACUCUCACUUGCACAAACACCUUAUUUUGUCCAAUACCACUGCUGCCAUCUGCUGGUAACGAAAGGUUAUUAAUUCGUUGGCAAUGUAUCUCCUUCCAAUAAAAUGUAUAACACUUAAAA